GAUCUUUCGUCUAGACAGAAGAGAGAUCAUUUCCUUCCUUUCUAUAGGAAAUGACUAAUGUUGCUAAGUCACCUUCCGCUGCUCUUGUGUUCCUGCUGAAUCCAUGAGCAGGCAAGAGACAACCUGGCGAACUGAAACAUCUUAGUAGCCAGAGGAAAAGAAAGCAAAAGCGAUUCCCGUAGUAGCGGCGGGUAAAGAAAUUUCUGGAUGAGUUACGUAAACACCUAAAAGAUAC
rnacentral:ncRNA from 1 species